rnacentral:rRNA from 1 species
AACGAACGCUGGCGGCAGGCUUAACACAUGCAAGUAGAACGCAUCCUUCGGGGUGAGUGGCAGACGGGUGAGUAACGCGUGGGAACGUGCCCUUCAGUUCGGGAUAACCCAGGGAAACUUGGGCUAAUACCGGAUACGUGCGAGAGCAGAAAGAUUUAUCGCUGAAGGAUCGGCCCGCGUCUGAUUAGCUAGUUGGUGGGGUAAUGGCCCACAAAGGCGACGAUCAGUAGCUGGUCUGAGAGGAUGAUCAGCCACAUUGGGACUGAGACACGGCCCAAACUCCAGCGGGAGUCAGCAGUGGGGAAGAUUGGACAAUGGGCGCGAGCCUAAUCCAGCCAGGCCACGUGAGUAAUGAAGGCCUUAGGGUUGUAAAGCUCUGUCGUCCGGGACGAUAAUGACGGUACCGGAAGAAGAAGCCCCGGCUAACUUCGUGCCAGCCGCCGCCGGAA